rnacentral:sRNA from 20 species
AUAUGAACAACGCAAAAAACUAACAUUCUCUCUAAAAGCAUUCUUGCGAGUAUCUCCUUCCCUUCUUAUGAGGGGGAGUGUGUAUACCAUGAAGUAUAGAAAUCGUCUAUGGGAAUGGAGAAGAAUUUUUCCUUGAGAAGAAAGUGUUGGUCUUGGGUGCAGUGUCUUCCAGUUUUUUAUUAUGGGAGGGAUUGCAAUGAUCGAUUCUACAG